AUGUGGGGAAUUUUCUCCUUCUCACCCUACUUGGGAGGAUGGGAGCUUCUGUCUUCCUUGGGAGAAGUACAGUUGCUGCCAAGGGAAACACAGCUGAGGAGCAGGAGUGACCCAGCCUUCCCUUUGCUUCCUUUCUUCUUCCCUCCCUGCUGCACAGCUCCCUUGCUCCAGAAGCGCGAUGCUGCCUCACCUGAGGAUUCAGAGCUGCCUCCAGGCCCUUGCAGGAGAAGUGCAGCUGCUCAGGAGAGGGAGGCUUCCCCAGCACCUGCCAAGAAAGUCUGUGCCACCUCUGCACUUGUUGGGGCUUCACCAGUGGAACCAUCAAGAGAGCUCAUCCAGAGAUUUAAUCUCCGCAAGCUCACGGUUCCACUGGUUCGCCUGGACCUGAAACGCCAUCCUGAGCUCAUGGUUCACCUCACUCCAGUCGACCCUGAAGCUGCUUGCAGGGCCCUUGGACAGAGCAACAGCUGCUCAUCUUCUCAGCAGCACAGCCCAGCCUGCCACCCAUCAGCUCCUUGGUGCCAGAAGCGCAGUGCUGCCUCACCUGAGGAUUCAGAGCUGCCUCCAGGCCCUUCCAGGACAAGUCCAGAUCCUCAAGGGCGUGAAGCUUCCCCAGCACGUGCCAAGAAAGUGUUUGCUGCAUCUGGACUUGGGGUUUCAUCAGGCCAGCCAGGCACACACAAAUUUCAAUUCCAGCCAGAGCUCAUGACUCCACCAUUUCCUGCGCACCAUCAAAGCACUUCUGCGGCCUCUCCAGAGAGCAGCAGCUGCACUUCUCCAGAGCAGCACUUGCCAGCCAACAUCCCAUCAGCCGCCCCGGGCACUUCAGUCCCCAGUGCUCCAGCUGGCAGUGCUGGUUAUGCAGCAUGGAGAGCCCCAAGCUGGGUAUGGAGUACUCCUGGGGAAGAGGAAUUGCCACCGCUGGAUCUGGACCUUGUUCUGGAGACACUGGAGGAGAUGCUUUCACCAUCUGUGCCUGAAAGGUCUCCCUCUGCUCAGGUCAAUGCUAGUGUUGCCCGUGGCUCUUCAGGAGGGGAGGCUGUGAACAAGGCUGCAGCAGAGGGAGCUUUGCCUGCUUGCGGGAGCUGUGUGAACGUUUGCCAGGAGCCCGAGGAGCUUGAUAUCCAUGUGAUCUACCUGGCCAGAAGGGCUGCCCUGCGUGGGAAGAAGGAUCAGAGGGAGAGCCUGUGA
rnacentral:lncRNA from 1 species